ensembl:lncRNA
CCGCCAGGUCCCCGGUCCAGAGGUGGGCUAGAUGCUGAGUUCCCGCAAGGUCCCUGUCCAGAGGUGGGCCAGAUGCUGAGUUCCCGCCAGGUCCCCGGUCCAGAGGUGGGCUAGAUGCUUAGUUCCCGCCAGGUCCCCGGUCUAGAGGUGGGCUAGAUGCUGAGUUCCAACCAGGUCCCCGGUUCAGAGGUGGGCCAGAUGCUGAGUUCCAACCAGGUCCCCGGUUCAGAGGUGGGCCAGAUGCUGAGUUCCAACCAGGUCCCCGGUUCAGAGGUGGGCUAGAUGCUGAGUUCCAACCAGGUCCCCGG